rnacentral:lncRNA from 1 species
ACAGGAAGGAGUGUUGUCCACAGUGAAGCUGGUGGGAGACUGAGGAUGUGUUGCCUGCUGCAUGACCUGCAAGUGAAGCUGUGGGCUUAUAAGGCCUCAGUGACACCCACCAAGGGACUUGCCAUAAUGAGACUCGAUCCUGGGCAGACUGAGCAGAUGCUAGGUCCUGUGGAUGUGACAUGGAACGGAUGUCACCUUCAGUCUUCUGCAGCAUCCAAAGUCCUGCAAUAUUCCUGGAGCCAGUGACAUCCUGUGAAAACUCAUGGAAGUCUCUGGAAAGAAGAAGCCCAGAAUUUACCAAGCUUGUCAAUGACCACAUGAUCAAUUCCACCCCACAGAAUCUAAAGAAUAAGACCCUUGGCUUCAGCAAGGGACAUGGGUGUCCUGGGGCUGUCAUAGCAAGGUUCCACAGACCAGCACAGAACAAACACAUUGCUCACUGUUGA